UCAACAAGGAGGAGGCUUGAUGAGGUUGACUGACACAAGGGUGUGUUCAAAGAAGGAGGAGAUCAGAUCCUCUUUCUGAACACUCCAGCUACAGUACUUCUCCACCUGUCUGCUCAUCAAAGCCAAACAAGCCUUGGGGAGAGAGAGUAGGAGCCAAAAAGUGGCAAUGUGGCUCCCAACAGCGGUGGUACUGUUCCUGGGUGCAGCACCUGACCUCUUCUUCAGCCAGCACUUCCGUGACAUCAGAGCAGUCGAACCAUCUCACUGCUCAAAGGGAUUCAUGGUUGACAAAGACUUUUACAGGAACAACAUUCUGAUGGUAUAUGAACGGGACCUACAUCAUUGCCAGCUUGCCUGCACUCAGAACCCUGGGUGUUCCUACUUCAGCUAUGUGGUUAAAGAGUAUAAUCUAUUUGGGUUGUCUGUUUGAGUGGUGGUCACCAGGUCACCCGAUUUGUUCUGGUAGAUACUGUAGUUGAGGGAUGGGGCUGGAGAAAUGUCAGCACUCGUAAAUGCAAAGCUAUGGACUCAUGGACUGACUAUUCAUCGAGAUCGAAAUGAUAUACAGUAUUUGUUUACAAAUACAUUGUUUACAAAAAAAAUGUAAAACAGAGACAUGACAGAAGUGCAUGGGUAUUGUCUUUUACUUUCAAAACAGAUUCCGCUGCUAUCAGAAGUAUUCAGAUGGUCAACCAACUAUGAUAAACAAUCCAGAAGUCAUAUCUGGUUACUCUCGGAAGGCCUGCAGUAAAGUCCAAGUCUCUCCAGGUACUCAUCGACUCAGGGGCUGAUGUGAGUCUCAUGGACGUUACCCCGGCGUCCAAGCUGGGCAUCCCCACUCAACUCCUCUCCAUUCCCAUGGGUGCUCCAGCAACACAAUCCCUCCAUUGACUGGGCUACUGGUACCAUCGUGGGCUGGAGCCCAUCCUACCACACUCAUUGCCUGAAGUCAGCUCUGCCUGCCCCGGGACAUUUUCCUGAGGGCUUGGAAAUUGCCCCCGGACAUCCCCGCCUGCGUCGCAGAGUACCAGGACCUCCGGGAGAUGUAGAAAAGGAGAAUCAAGCAGACCAUUGUAAGGAUGUCUCUGAAAUCUAAUACAGGAGGUGACCUCAAUGACCCAGUGGUAAAGGAACAGAUGUUGGAGCAGAUCAGAAAGGAGUUUGCUAAGGACGGGAACUUCAUCCUAGGCCUACGCUGGAGAGAACUGCUGAAUGGAGACGUUUUUCUCAAAACAGUUGAACUUGGAAGCCCUGAAGAAGGUCAGUGUGGUUCAGGAUGAAGAGGACCAGCCAUGAUGAUGCAACAGGAGAGGGAUGGAAGUUCCAAGAAAACUAAAAUAGUCAAGUUUACUGUAAAUAACCCUAGUACUUUUUAAUAUAUGACCGUAUGUCAAUAACAUUAUCUUAGUUCAUGGCACAUGUUUUUCUUGAGUGAUAGAUAGCUUUAUGCUUAUGAAUGAAAAAUAUGAUGUCAAGUUAUAUUAGGCUAGAUUUAAACUCUACAAUGUUUUACUUUUGUAAUGUAAAAUUAUAAUGUAAGAUUUUUGUUGGUGUAUGAAUGUAAUGUAAUAAUGUUUGUUGUACAUCAGGGCAAUUUGAUUAGUGAAGAGAAGAGGAAUAAAAAGGACAUUUGUGGUUUUUCAAGUCUGUUGUUAAAACAUGUAUGGUGAAGUUUCAGUGAGGUUUCAGUGAGGGAGUUUCAGUUAGGGAUUUUCAGAGUGUAAAAUUCUUGAUAAGGAUGUUACUCACUUAUGGAUGUAGCUGUUGACGUUCUUAAAUAAAAUAUGUUUGAUUGUGACAACAAUAUUACCAUUAUUUUCACCCUCCAGCAAGAAUGGUGAGAUGAAGGCAGUAAUCACAUCAGUGUAGAAUGAUGUGCCCACUUCCAGGU